GGAUUAGAUACCCUGGUAGUCCACGCCCUAAACGAUGAGUGCUAGUUGUCGGCAUGCAUGCAUGUCGGUGACGCAGCUAACGCAUUAAGCACUCCGCCUGGGGAGUACGGCCGCAAGGUUAAAACUCAAAGAAAUUGACGGGGGCCCGCACAAGCGGUGGAGCAUGUGGUUUAAUUCGAAGCAACGCGCAGAACCUUACCCACGUUUGACAUCCCGUGCUACCUGGAGAGAUCCAGGGUUCUUCGGACACGGUGACAGGUGCUGCAUGGCUGUCGUCAGCUCGUGUUG
rnacentral:rRNA from 1 species